rnacentral:rRNA from 1 species
CAGUCGCCGCGGUAAUACGAGGGGAGCUAGCGUUGUUCGGAAUUACUGGGCGUAAAGCGCGCGUAGGCGGCUUUUUAAGUCAGAGGUGAAAGCCCGGGGCUCAACCCCGGAAUUGCCUUUGAAACUGGAAAGCUAGAAUCUUGGAGAGGUCAGUGGAAUUCCGAGUGUAGAGGUGAAAUUCGUAGAUAUUCGGAAGUACACCAGUGGCGAAGGCGACUGACUGGACAAGUAUUGACGCUGAGGUGCGAAAGCGUGGGGAGCAAACAGGAUUAGAUACCCCAGUAGUCCCUGUCUCUUAUAC